rnacentral:rRNA from 1 species
GAUGAACGCUGGCGGCGUGCCUAAUACAUGCAAGUCGAGCGAACGGACGAGAAGCUUGCUUCCCUGAUGUUAGCGGCGGACGGGUGAGUAACACGUGGAUAACCUACCUAUAAGACUGGGAUAACUUCGGGAAACCGGAGCUAAUACCGGAUAAUAUUUUGAACCGCAUGGUUCAAAAGUGAAAGACGGUCUUGCUGUCACUUAUAGAUGGAUCCGCGCUGCAUUAGCUAGUUGGUAAGGUAACGGCUUACCAAGGCAACGAUGCAUAGCCGACCUGAGAGGGUGAUCGGCCACACUGGAACUGAGACACGGUCCAGACUCCUACGGGGGGCAGCAGUAGGGAAUCUUCCGCAAUGGGCGAAAGCCUGACGGAGCAACGCCGAGUGAGUGAUGAAGGUCUUCGGAUCGUAAAACUCUGUUAUUAGGGAAGAACAUAUGUGUAAGUAACUGUGCACAUCUUGACGGUACCUAAUCAGAAAGCCACGGCUAACUACGUG